GUGUGUGUGUGUGUGUGUAUGCAUGUGUACCCAGAAAGGACGCUUCUGGGGGGAGCAGCCACAUAACGGGGCUUUUCCUCUGCUUCGCUCCGGGCCCUUGCUGGCCAACCUUUGCCAUGGCAAGCCCCAGCCUGAGGAACGAGCCCCCAGCGCCACAGGUCUCACUUCCCCUCUGCCACCACAGACCCGCCGAGGGACUGAGCAAGCUCCCCCGGCUGCACACCCGAGGAUGCUAGCCUGAGAGCUGAGGGACUCCCACCUUGCACGUCCAGUCCGCUCAAGGCCAGAGGUGGAGUGUGAGAGCAGGCCCGAGGGCUGCUGCCCCGGAGGGGGAGGCGGCCUCUUGCCAGGAAGCUUCCAGCAGGAAAACACCCCGUGUUUCCAACCUGCCAUCACAGUGCCCAUCCCAGCGGCAGUCACAAACAGCCAUUUCAUUGUGCAAUCUUUGUAAUUAUCAUCGUUGCCAUAGCAACAACAUUUGACAGCAGCAAGAGCCCCCAAGCCUCGUUCUGUACCCUCUCCUCACACCACUGCCUGGGUGUGUAACCCUGCUCCCGGUGAGUGCAGCGCCUGGGCGAGGGGCGUGCUUUUGUCCCUGUGCACAGGUAGUUGGAGAGGCGUACCUUACUCGGAAUUCUUCGUAAGUAAACCCUGUUUCCCGGUGUCAGCCGGGGUCCUGCCCACAACCAGAAUCCCUCUCAGAGUGGCGGGAAGCGGCUUGGUGCUGCACCGAUGUCCUCAGGACCAAGGAGGCAAGCACAGCGUCUGCCCAUUGUCCCUUUUGUAAGGUCCCACUCGCUGGCUUAAGGUCCACCUGAGUAACCUCAUCUAACUGAUUACAUCUGCACCGAUUCUAAGUGAAGUCACAGUCUGAGGGGCUGGGGGCGGCUAGAGCUCCAACCUAGGCAUUCUGAAGAAUACAACCCAACCCAUGAUAACACCAAAAAGGGGUGCUCGGCUUCGGGGGUGAGUGACAGGAAGAUGCUGUGUGCCCCUGUGCUAGCUACUCCCCACCAGGCCCUCUGCACCCCCUCUCUUGUUCUGUGUCUGGAAGGCUGACGCACCGGGUGUGUUCCUGCCUUCUAUUCCUUCUCUCUGACACAGAUGAUGAGCGGCAGAAGCUGGAGCCUUACAGAUGGGAGAGGCAAGACGGAGUAGCUUCUCUGUGGUCCCCAGGUUUUGUGUGUGAAGAUUAAGAAAUCUUUUAAAUUAGGUGUUACUGUGUGUGUGUGUGUGUGUGUGUGUGUGUGUUUGUGUUUGCUCAUGUGGGUGCAGUGCCUGCAGAGGCCAGCAGAGGGUGUUGGAUCCAUGGAAACCAGAUGGCAAGAACAGUACUCCUGCUCCUAACCAGCCCCUGCUUCUCUCACUUUUAACAUCUUUAAUAAUUACAGCAGGAGUGACUGGAUAGGUCAGGAGAGUUCACAUUCAGCAAUAACAGCUGACGCUCAGUGUGUGUGUGUGUGUGUGUAUAACAGCUGACGCUCAGUGUGUGUGUGUGUGUGUGUGCGCGCGCGCGCGCGCGCGCGCCCGCACACACGCAUGCGUGUAGCAUGUAUUGUCUGGUUUUGCUGCUAUAAUAGAAUACCACAGACUGAGUAAUUUAUAAAGAUUAAAAAGUUAUUUGUCCCAUGGUUCUAGAGGCGGGGCCAUCCAGGAGCCUUUAGGCUUGACUUUGUGGCAAGCCUAGGUGUCCUGUUAAGCUCUAAUCUAGAAAGAGCUGUACUUUAGAGCGUCCUCAACCCCUUUUCCCCCAGGACAUUCAGUUUGUGUAUCCCCAGUGUCCUCAGCCCACUUAGCUUUUCUAUUUUCCCAUCUGUGAAUCUUUAGGACAGGUGUCGUAAAACAGUUUCUGCCAAGAUUAAAAUAUUCCAUCUUGCAGUAACACUCCAUAAGCAGGAAGGUAAACAAACAGCUUCAGGAAGUCCCUGAAGCUGACCAGAGUCAUUAGGGCCCCUCCCUGCCAGAGUAACAGUGAAAGCCAGGAGUCCUUCUCAGAUGCAGUAGAAAAGGACGCAGAGAAGACUCUAACCCCAGACCAGCUGCCCGAAGAAGCAGAAACCGGCCUAUCUGCCUGGAAGACUGUGUGCAGUGUGCUUCUGGCCCCCAGCUUGGUGAGCUGUCGCCUGUCCUGGGGCAGGCGCUGGUGAUGCCGCUGCCUUUGACUCACAUCUGGUCCAGUAAGUAACCCAAUAAAGCUCAUCGGUCCACCGAGCUGGACUUUGGUGAUACUGGUACUUUGGUCUGCCUUGGGCUCCCUAUCUGGGGUGAGAGAUGCGUCUCUCCUGAAGUUUUGUCACACAGUAGCAGACUAAUAUCCAGUUCUCUCUAGGGUUCCAGCCUGCCGCCUGCUUCUGAGAGCAGCCUGCGCGCCUGAGAUCAUCAUGGCUUUCAGGCUUCCUCUGUUUGCUUUGGAAGAUGGCUGUUUGUGGCUGGCCCGUGUACAAGCUUUAUUUCUUUUCUUCCUCUUUCUUCCUGUUUCCUUCUUUCUCUCUACUAUUUCUUGGUUGGUCUGUGGGUUUCAUGGUGACAUGUUCUUACAACAUAGCUCUAAACCUUACUUACUCACCCUUCACUGCCCUCCCCCUCCCCCCGCCCUCCACUAGCUUUGCUUUCUGCAGGGUUCCUGUCUGCUGGAUCUGACCAGUUUCUGAUCCUCCCCAGGACAGGUUCCUCAGCCUCUACUCUCAGGGUUCUGCCCUAGUUAACAGCCACAUUUUGUCCUUUUGUCAAAACCCAGGGACUAAAGGAAACUCUCCCUGCUCUUUGGCAAGGAUAUUGGAUCUAACCCCCUCGCUGGAGAGAACACUUGGAUCCCUUUUCCUCAGCUCUUCAAGGACAGCUACCACGAAUCUAUUUCUACUACAGCCUGGAAGGAACAUUUAUUUAAAACCCCGUGUCCACCUGCCCCACACCCUGCGGUGUCAAAACAGACUCAAGGCCCUCGUUCCUGUGGAGAGGACCGCCAGGAGGGACUGUCAGAGCUGUGCCUUCUAUCUGAUAUGCCUCAGGAACACGGUGUUCCGUAGAGCCUGCUGCUUGUGCGGUUCCCACGUCUCCACCUCUCCCAUAGCUCUGUAAGGGAAAUACUAAACGGGGCCGUCGAGAUGACUUCUGCUGCCAAGCCGGGGACCGGAGUUCAAAUCUGCAGGAUUCACACAGUGGAAACCAAGACCUGACUCCUAAAAGUCCACAUGCCAAACUGGCUCUCUUGAACAGCCCCCUCCCCAAUAAAUAAAAUGUAAGAAAGAAGAAACGGUAACUGUUUGGAUUGACGAAAAGCAAUGUCUCUGGACCUAUCCUCACUGUGUACAGCUCUGUGUUUACAGUUAGCAUGUGUCAACUGAAAAAUAAAGUAUUUAGAGAAUCCAA